UGAAAUGCUUCUCCUUAAAUUUUUGUUAUGAUUCUAAGACACUUUGAUAUGGUUCGUGUAUAUGCUGGAAUUAAUUACUCAUGCCUUAGUACAUCAAGCUGUUACACUUGAAUCAGUGACUCACAGUUUAACAUGUGGGAGUAUUGCAUUUGAAGUGAUCUGAAAGUUUUAUCUGUGUUCUUACAUCCAUGUGACAUGCAAGUCAUCAUAACAAUGCAUUGCUUCAAUUUGGUUUUCAUUCCCUCUAAUAAAGCACAGGUUCAUGCUAAUAGUUUGGCAGGAAAAAGGCCACGCCCUAUAAUACAAUGAUAUAUCAGAAGGUAUCCAAAAUAUUUGCAGACCCCCAAAAGAUGGCUGCACAUGCCUAUAGAUAUAUACCAGUGUGAUAUUACAGUUCCAUUCUAUGAAAUCCUGAGAUGUGUAGUUAAAUUAAUUACUUUGGAUUCUCUACUACAGAGCUCUACUGCCUUCUGAACUACUUUCAGUAUCAAAGCACCACAAUUGUGUAACGUACUCUCAAACAAAAUGUGCACGGUCUCAUUCUACUCCAUGCAAGAGUCAAACAAGAGAUUCUGCAAUAGCUGAAGGAUGUUUAAUCCCCAAAUAAUACUGAUCAUAUUGCCCAAUGUCACCUUAAUGAUAGUGCCUGCCUAAUUUACAUCAUUUUUUAAACAUUGCAUCUGAUGUAAAGAGAACUAAGGAUUGUGGUAUUUUUUACAAGUACUGUACUGCUAAAUGCUGUCCUGUCAAGCCUCACUGGAUGACAUUUUCAGCUGUUGGUCUCAUAUUUGAUGACUAGUGGCAAUGUUGGUUCAGAAUAUAAAUACUGUAAAUAAAUAAAUUACUGUACAAAUAUUUGGAUGUUGCCUACUUAAGGAAGGGUAACCUUGACAGUAAAGAAUGUCUGUAAUUCCACCCAUCUAGGCUUCUCACUGUAUUUCUUCAUCACAAAGUGCUGUAAUAGGCUCGUACUCCAUCUGGACUUCUGUUUUCUAGUGUCUGGCUCUGCUUCAUGGCUGCCCACAUAAUAUCCAUAGUGUGAUCCCAAACACCCAUGGCAUGGAGAUGCAAAGUUCCUCGUCAAAAGAGCGGAGCCUUGAAAAAUGAAUACGACAGCCUUAAAAUUAAUCAUGAAGGAGAGGUCUAAAAGUGAAAGGAUGCCUUGUAUGUUUAAAAGCUCUCCUUUUUAUGAGGGUAAUAAACUGUUUCGGCACGGGUUAUAUAUUAGA